AUUGAACGCUGGCGGAAUGCUUUACACAUGCAAGUCGAACGGUAGAGGGGGCAACCCCUUGAGAGUGGCGAACGGGUGAGUAAUAUAUCGGAACGUGCCCAGUCGUGGGGAUAACGUAGCGAAAGUUACGCUAAUACCGCAUACGAUCUAAGGAUGAAAGCGGGGGAUCGCAAGACCUCGCGCGAUUGGAGCGGCCGAUAUCAGAUUAGGUAGUUGGUGAGGUAAAGGCUCACCAAGCCGACGAUCUGUAGCUGGUCUGAGAGGACGACCAGCCACACUGGGACUGAGACACGGCCCAGACUCCUACGGGAGGCAGCAGUGGGGAAUUUUGGACAAUGGGCGCAAGCCUGAUCCAGCCAUGCCGCGUGCAGGAUGAAGGCCUCGGUUGUAACGUUA
rnacentral:rRNA from 1 species